CACAGGACGCCUGGUGCACGUUCAUGGCCUCCGCCAGAGCAGCUCUGCUCACAGAGGGCGCCCAGGACACGCUCCUCAUUGCACAGGAACCCCACCCUUCCUAUGAAAGAGUACCAGAUAUGUGCGUGUAAGGAAAAAGCAGGAGAGAAACAGCUGGAAACAUGGAUCUGGACCAGUUAUAGAAGGCCUUGAAAGCCACAUAAGGAAUUUGGACUUUAUUCUGUGGACAGCUGGUGUUAUGGGUUAAAUUGUGUCUCCCAAAACUUGUAUGUUGAAGUCUCAACUCCCAGUGCCGCGGGAUGAGACUUUAUUUGGCAAUAGGGUCGUCGCAGAUGUCAUUAGUUAAAUUAGAAUGAGCUCGUACCUGAGUGGACCCGUAUGACCCAUGUGCUAACAAAAAUGGAAAAUUUAGAGACAGAGACACAGAGAAAAUGCCGUGUGAAGAUGAAGGCAGAGAUCAGAGUGAUGCUUCUACAAGCCAAGGAAUGCAAAAAUUGCCAGCAAACCACAGACUGUAGAGAAGCAAGGAACAGAUUCUCUCACAGCCUUGAGAAGGAACUAACCCUGCUGACACCUUGGUCUCAGACUUCUAACCUCCAGAACUGUGAGACAAGAGAUUUCUGUUGUUUAAGCCACCUAGUCUGUGGAAAUUUAUUACAUCAACCUGUUGAUCCCAAGAAGGAAUAACCUGCCAAGAAGGACUCCUUGUAGUUAAUUGGGCUCAAAUUCAAACCAGAGCCUAACAUUAUUUGCUAGUAGAGGCCUCUCAUACACACUAUAUUUCAAAGGAAAAGCCUCAAACUGAGCUGCCAGCCUCCUGCGCUAUGUCCCCACUGGCAAUACGAUCCUUAUAAAGGAGUUUUUGGAAUCCUUUUAAACGAUGGGCUGAGACCUGCCCAGUCUAUGAAAAUUGCACAGCUAUUUUUUGUUGUUGUUGUUAAUCCAAUGCUUUCAUUAUUCACAAUUUAACUUCACUGUAUUGAAAGUCUGAUUAGGUAUGGCCAUAAGUCAGGAAAUAAACAAUGAUGUAGAAAAUCCCAAAAGCAAUAAAAUAUGAAGGACACUCUCGCAUAAAAUUAAGCAGAAAUAACAUUAGUGAUGUCAUGCAGUUUCUGAGACACCAUAGAAAAAUUGUUUCUUAAUAUCGGUAAGAAAAAUUAUGCAUCAGUGAAAAUGCAGGCUUAAAAAUAUAGCACUGAGAGUUUCAAUUUGUGAUAUCUUCACUGAUGAGGGAAAAUGGAAUUCAUUUGCAUAUUUACUGACCAAUCAGAACAGCUCCAAAAUGACCAAUCAGAAUGUGCAAUUCCAACCAAUCAGGAGAGAGCUAUUUGGACCAAUCAGGGGCCAGGGCGGGAACUUUAUAAAAGAGAGCCGCCAAGCUCACGUUCAGUUUCCAUCCCGGCGGGUUUGAGAGCUGCUCACCUGAAUGAAGUUUCUCCUUUUACCAUACCCCAGGCUGGGGACUCCUGUCGAUAUUAGAUGAGUGGCAGCAAACUUUUGUCCACAAACUCUAGCAAAAGAAUCCAGCUGGGAACUUCUGCAAAAUGGGAUACUUGAGAAAAAGAACCAAAAUGUGAAGGGAGCAUAUGAUUUAUCCAGCCUUCCUUGAGUAGCAUCCUCACCUGUUUGAGUCAAAGACGAAACGUUCAAGCUCUUAAGCACUAAACGAUCUGCAAACAAGCAAAAUAAGUAUCCAUAGAAGG